UGAACAUUUGCAUUUAACUAGGUACGAAGUUAGCACUAGAAAUUCACUGAAGUCAGCCACGCAGAAGGGAAGGUCCAUUACAGUUUCUCCAGUACCAUUCCAGACUUCAUUCCUCUCUGCUGAAGAACGACUGUAUGCUGAGGUGUCCUAUAAAAGGCCCUCUCCAGAAGAAGACAGAAAGAAAUCUUGUUGACCUCCCUUGCUGUUGUACAUGUGAUACUUUGCUGCCUUGUGUAUAUGAUCCCUGUGUUUGUUUGGGGGAACUGUUUGGCUGUAUUACCUGGUUUGACCUACUGAAUCAGCUUUGUGCUCUCACCUUGUCCCUUUGGCUAUCUGUUGGUGUACAUUUGUAAAUAUGUACUGGUAGUAGAGGGUGGCUACCAUGUGUUUUGGGGUUGUUUAUCUGUAUUUUUGGUCAGGGAGUUAGUGUAUUACCAUGUCUUUAUUUUCUAGUAGAUGAGUUAGCAUUAGUGUUUUCCUUUCAUAGUGCUGUUUUGUUGUGUUGGCCUUCAUCACUCCUGAAUGCAUACCAGUUGUAUAAAAUAGAACUUGUAUAAUAUAUCUGCAGUUAACUCCU